rnacentral:tRNA from 1 species
GCUCGUGUGGCGAAAUUGGCAGACGCAGCAGACUUAAAAUCUGUGGGAGAGAUCCUUGCCGGUUCAAGUCCGGCCAUGAGCACCA